rnacentral:rRNA from 1 species
UACGUAGGGGGCUAGCGUUGUCCGGAAUCAUUGGGCGUAAAGCGCGUGUAGGCGGCCCGGUAAGUCCGCUGUGAAAGUCGGGGGCUCAACCCUUGGAUGCCGGUGGAUACUGUCGGGCUCGAGUACGGAAGAGGCGAGUGGAAUUCCUGGUGUAGCGGUGAAAUGCGCAGAUAUCAGGAGGAACACCAAUUGCGAAGGCAGCUCGCUGGGACGUAACUGACGCUGAGACGCGAAAGCGUGGGGAGCAAACAGG